CCUACGGGUGGCAGCAGUGGGGAAUAUUGGACAAUGGGCGAAAGCCUGAUCCAGCCAUUCCGCGUGUGUGAAGAAGGCCUUCGGGUUGUAAAGCACUUUCAGUGGGGAAGAAAGCCUUGGGGCUAAUACCCUCGAGGAAGGACAUCACCCACAGAAGAAGCACCGGCUAACUCCGUGCCAGCAGCCGCGGUAAUACGGAGGGUGCGAGCGUUAAUCGGAAUUACUGGGCGUAAAGCGCGCGUAGGCGGUCUGAUAAGCCGGUUGUGAAAGCCCCGGGCUCAACCUGGGAACGGCAUCCGGAACUGUCAGGCUAGAGUGCAGGAGAGGAAGGUAGAAUUCCCGGUGUAGCGGUGAAAUGCGUAGAGAUCGGGAGGAAUACCAGUGGCGAAGGCGGCCUUCUGGACUGACACUGACGCUGAGGUGCGAAAGCGUGGGUAGCAAACAGGAUUAGAUACCCCGGUAGUC
rnacentral:rRNA from 1 species